rnacentral:rRNA from 1 species
GAUGAACGCUGGCGGCGUGCCUAAUACAUGCAAGUCGAGCGAACAGACGAGGAGCUUGCUCCUCUGACGUUAGCGGCGGACGGGUGAGUAACACGUGGAUAACCUACCUAUAAGACUGGGAUAACUUCGGGAAACCGGAGCUAAUACCGGAUAACAUGUUGAACCGCAUGGUUCAACAGUGAAAGACGGUCUUGCUGUCGCUUAUAGAUGGAUCCGCGCCGCAUUAGCUAGUUGGUAAGGUAACGGCUUACCAAGGCAACGAUGCGUAGCCGACCUGAGAGGGUGAUCGGCCACACUGGAACUGAGACACGGUCCAGACUCCUACGGGAGGCAGCAGUAGGGAAUCUUCCGCAAAGGGCGAAAGCCUGACGGAGCAACGCCGCGUGAGUGAAGAAGGUCUUCGGAUCGUAAAACUCUGUUAUUAGGGAAGAACAAAUGUGUAAGUAACUAUGCACGUCUUGACGGUACCUAAUCAGAAAGCCACGGCUAACUACGUG